UACGAAGGACCCGAGCGUUAUCCGGAUUUAUUGGGUUUAAAGGGUGCGUAGGCGGACACGCAAGUCAGUGGUGAAAUCUCCCAGCUUAACUGGGAAACUGCCAUUGAAACUAUGUGUCUUGAGUACAUUUGAGGCGGGCGGAAUGUGUCAUGUAGAGGUGAAAUUCUUAGAUAUGACACAGAACACCAAGUGCGAAGGCAGCUGGCUACACGAAUAUUGACACUGAUGCACGAAAGCGUGGGGAUCAAACAGG
rnacentral:rRNA from 1 species